CCUACGGGUGGCAGCAGUGAGGAAUAUUGGUCAAUGGACGAGAGUCUGAACCAGCCAAGUAGCGUGAAGGAUGACUGCCCUAUGGGUUGUAAACUUCUUUUAUAUGGGAAUAAAAUGUUCCACGUGUGGGAUUUUGUAUGUACCAUAUGAAUAAGGAUCGGCUAACUCCGUGCCAGCAGCCGCGGUACUACGGAGGAUCCGAGCGUUAUCCGGAUUUAUUGGGUUUAAAGGGAGCGUAGGUGGAUGGUUAAGUCAGUUGUGAAAGUUUGGGGCUCAACCGGAAAAUUGCAGUUGAAACUGGCAGGCUUGAGUACAGUAGAGGUGGGUGGAAUUCGUGGUGUAGCGGUGAAAUGCUUAGAGAUCACGAAGAACUCCGAUUGCGAAGGCAGCUCACUGGACUGCAACUGACACUGAGGCUCGAAAGUGUGGGGAUCAAACAGGAUUAGAUACCCGUGUAGUC
rnacentral:rRNA from 1 species